UCCGUUUCUAAUAAAGAUCAAGGCAAAUCAUAUAAAACUGAUAAUUAGUAAAAACUAAUAAUUUAAGUAUCCAAUAAGAGUGGGCCUAUGUUAGAAGAAUCAGACAGCAUCAGCUCUUUUUACAACUUUUUUUUUAAAUAGUGGGAACCAAAUAAGUGCAGGAAGUCUUUUGAACUGUGUCCCGAAUGAUAAGGUUUCACUCUGCAGCCAUCCUGAAUAAAAACAGCUAUUAAGGUUUUUUUUGAACCAGCUAAUCUUGAUAAGGUUCAACCGUUUCCCCAAGAGAGGUCUAUGAACUGCCACUCCCUUCGAAUCGAAUGAAUAAAAAUUCAUGUGUACCAUUAACAUCAGGGUUUAUACAACAAUUGUGCUGCCCAACUGGGUCAUGGCUACUGCAAAUGCAUGUGGGACUUGUGUUUAUCCUUGUUCAUAAAUACCUUUGGACGGUACAGUGCCUGCUCUCCCGUACCUUUCCCAGGCGGCUGCAAGUUCAACCAUGCAGUUGUCAUUCCUGAAAUGGAUGUUCCAUUAGAACAGCCAUGCAGAGAAGGAGCAUGGAGCAUUCAUGCAGGAGCUAAAUUCUGUGCUGUUUCAAUCAAAAGCACUUUGCUAAAGAAAACACAACAGUUGGAAUUACAAAAUAACCACAAUGCUCAGCUAAAAAUACCAAACAGGAUGUUCUUCAUUUGUGGUUGUAUAUGUUACUAACAACAAGAACUCCAAAACCCUCUCUGAUCUCAUUGUCAAUUCAUCUUAACUUUCUUCUGUUAGGUCUCUGGACCUUUCUGACAUAAAUGAUCGAUGGAGAUAGGAAUGUUCCCACUGUGCCAGAAGGACAGAGGAAGUAAUUUAAAAGGUGGCAUUUUAUGAAGAACGGGUCAGUGGUUGCCCGGAUUAGAGAAGGAGGUAGGAGGUAGUGUGGGUGUGGCUACAGAGGGGUAGAUGAGAGAGCUCUUCUGUGGCGAUGAAACAGUCACAUAUCUUCAGUGUGGUGGCAGAUACGCCAAUCUAGACAUGUGAUAGAAUUGCCCGCACAUCUCUCAGUCUCUCUCUCCUUCCUCCUGACUGUCCCUCCAUCCCUCACAAAAUACAAAGGAAUGCAUGUAAAAAACUGGUGAAUCAUGAACAAGGUCUAUAGUCAGGUUGACAGCAUUAUACCAAUGUGAAUUUCCUGAUUUUGAAACUGUACUGUAAUUAUGGAAGAUGCUAUCAUUGAGGGAAGCUGGAUAAAGGGUACAUGGUCUAUCUUGGUUUUACUCUACUUUUGCAACUUCCUACGACUCUAGAAUAUUUACAAAAUAAAAAGCUUUUAAAACUGUCAUUUUAAAGGUAACAUCCCAACCCAGUGUCAUUUUGCAGUCAGCCACCAUGCAGUGGUUCAAGCACUGAGACUUGGCAAUCAAACCAAUGAGGACUUGAGUUCCGGUUCCACUGCUUACUAGCUGUUGUGACCUUGAAAGAGAUCCAAACUCAGUGCCUUAGUUUCCUCAUCCUGUAAGUGGGAGUGAUAAUAGGACCUACCUAACAGGGGUCUUUAAAGGAUUAAAUGAGAUACUACAGGCAAUAUGUCCAGAGUUCAUGGAAAGCAUUCAGUAAGUAUUGGCUGUUAUUAUUAUUAAGAUGGUAAAUCAGUCUAAGUACUUCUAAGAGCAUUAAGUUCUUGAUUAAUUUGGCUGACAUUCAAGAACACACCAAGUGCCAGGCACAUGCCUCAUGUGACCAAGGAGAUGGAGUCUAGACAUGGGCCCUGGUUCUGGUCUCUGUCUCUUUGGAUUUUUCAGUUCUAUAAUGAAUAUGAUCUUUAAAGAUGCAAUUUACAUGUAUGAUGGAUGUUAUGAAAGUGGAAACACAGGGGCCUUGAGGAGGAACUAACUUAAGAAUGAAAGGCCCUUUCUGCAGUCAAGGUUGAAAUGGGAGCUUUCUCUCUGCUAAAUUACUGGAGUACAGUCUUCA
ensembl:lncRNA